rnacentral:rRNA from 1 species
UACGGAGGAUCCAAGCGUUAUCCGGAAUCAUUGGGUUUAAAGGGUCCGUAGGCGGUUUAGUAAGUCAGUGGUGAAAGCCCAUCGCUCAACGGUGGAACGGCCAUUGAUACUGCUAGACUUGAAUUAUUAGGAAGUAACUAGAAUAUGUAGUGUAGCGGUGAAAUGCUUAGAGAUUACAUGGAAUACCGAAUUGCGAAGGCAGGUUACUACUAAUGGAUUGACGCUGAUGGACGAAAGCGUGGGUAGCGAACAGG